CCUACGGGUGGCAGCAGUAGGGAAUAUUGCUCAAUGGGGGAAACCCUGAAGCAGCAACGCCGCGUGGAGGAUGAAGGUUUUAGGAUUGUAAACUCCUUUUGUGAGAGAAGAUAAUGACGGUAUCUCACGAAUAAGCACCGGCUAACUCCGUGCCAGCAGCCGCGGUAAUACGGAGGGUGCAAGCGUUAUUCGGAAUCACUGGGCGUAAAGGGUGCGCAGGGGGGCUUGUAAGUCAGAUGUGAAAUCCUGUAGCUUAACUACAGAACUGCAUUUGAAACUAUGGGUCUUGAGUGUGGGAGGGGUAAGUGGAAUUCUUGGUGUAGGGGGGAAAUGCGGAGAUAUCAAGAAGAAUACUCAUUGCGAAGGCGACCUACUGGAACAUUACUGACGCUGAUGCACGAAAGCGUGGGGAGCAAACAGGAUUAGAUACCCCAGUAGUC
rnacentral:rRNA from 1 species